UGUGUCAUACUGAGAAACCAGUUGGGGUGGCUGAAGGAAUGCUGGCAUUACCCCUCCCCUAACCCUAGGCUACACAGCUUGCACCUUCAAAAGAGACCCCUUUCUUCCGCUUGAGAGGAAAGGAAAAAAUGGGGAGGACAUUGUCUUGCAUCUUGGAUACCAGCUCAACUACAGCAGGAGAGGGCACUGGUCAGAGUUAUGAGGCCCCUUCACUUACAGGCCCUAACUCCCAGAUGACAUUUCUAGACACACCCUGGGUGAGAAUGGAACCCGCUGCCUUGAAGGGAAAGACCAAUUGUGGCAGGAUUUGUCAUCUGCUAACGGAAGAGCCAUUGGGCCCCAAAUAACCAGCAGUGAUACUCGGGUACUGUGUUGAGGGCCUUGGUUGAGAUGCUGAGACUUACUGGCUUCAGACAACAACAGGGCCACAGGAGUUCGAGCACCACGCUGACUCCUGGGGUUCGUGAUUCCAGGAUUUGACUCUUGGAUGACAUUCCUCGACCUGUCCUGAGUCAGAGGGAAGCCCAUUGCCCUGCAGGGCAAGUCCCAGGCCAGGCAACGUUCAGCACAAAUCUGACUUAAGUGCCCUGAGGCCUUAAGGGAACACUGGCAUUAGUCUGGCAGUAGUCUCUGUGGCCUAUGGUGACAGUGGCUAUGGAGUGAGGCCCCUUUGGAAAGGGGAUAGAAGAAUGGGAAGGACCACAUUUUGUGGUUUGUGUGCCAGCGCAGUCGCAGUACAUCAGAAUAUCAGACACCGAAGAACAUCUACUAGCAUCAACACCAUCCAAGAAAACAUGGCCUCACCAAACAAAAUAAGGCACCCGAGACCAAUCCUGGAGAAACAGAGACGUGACCUUUCAGACAGAGAAUUCAACAUAGCUGUGACGAAGAAACUCAAAGAAACUCAAGAAACAGGAUCUUGCUCUGUCACCCAGGAUGGAGUUCAGUGGUGCAACAUGGCUCAUUGGAGCCUCAAACCCCCAGGCUAGCAUUCCUACCUCUGCCUUUCGAGUAGCUGGGACUACAGG